AACGAACGCUGGCGGCAGGCCUAACACAUGCAAGUCGAACGUGAAGCCACCUUCGGGUGGUGGAAAGUGGCAGACGGGUGAGUAACGCGUGGGAACGUGCCUUUCGGUUCGGAAUAACCCAGGGAAACUUGGGCUAAUACCGGAUACGCCCUUCGGGGGAAAGAUUCAUCGCCGAAAGAUCGGCCCGCGUCGGAUUAGCUAGUUGGUGUGGUAACGGCGCACCAAGCCGACGAUCGGUAGCUGGUUUGAGAGGAUGAUCAGCAACACUGGGACUGAGACACGGCCCAGACUCCUACGGGAGGCAGCAGUGGGGAAUCUUAGACAAUGGGCGCAAGCCUGAUCUAGCCAUGCCGCGUGGGUGAUGAAGGCCUUAGGGUCGUAAAGCCCUUUCGCCGGGGAAGAUAAUGACGGUACCCGGUAAAGAAACCCCGGCUAACUCCGUGCCAGCCGCCGCUGUAACAC
rnacentral:rRNA from 1 species